rnacentral:rRNA from 1 species
GACGAGCCACCCAAACGUUAUUCGGAAUUACUGGGCUUAAAGGGUGCGUAGGCGGUGCGGAAAGUAGGGUGUGAAAGACCUCGGCUCAACCGAGGAAUGGCGCUCUAAACUACCGUGCUUGAGGGAGAUAGAGGUAAGCGGAACUCGGGUGGAACGGUGAAAUGUGUUGAUAUCCGAAGGAACACCGGUGGCGAAAGCGGCUUACUGGAUCUUCUCUGACGCUGAGGCACGAA